rnacentral:rRNA from 1 species
GUGCCAGCAGCCGCGGUAAUACAUAGGGGUCAAGCGUUGUCCGGAUUUAUUGGGCGUAAAGAGCUCGUAGGCGGUUCAACAAGUCGGUCGUAAAAGUUUAGGGCUCAACCCUAAAAUGUCGAUCGAUACUGUUGUGACUAGGAUACGGUAGAGGUGAAUGGAAUUCCGAGUGUAGCGGUGAAAUGCGUAGAUAUUCGGAGGAACACCAAUUGCGAAGGCAGUUCACUGGCUCGUCACUGACGCUGAGGUGCGAAAGCGUGGGUAGCAAACAGGAUUAGAUA